GAGAAAGAAAGGAAAUAAAAGAAAGAAAACCUUUCACGACUCUUCUCCUCCAUAGCCUUUCGUCUCCAUCGAGUUUUUCUCCGUCUGUUAAUGAAAAAAAAAAUUAUGACGAACACUGAUAGUGAAACUUUGAAACUUUCUCUCACUAUAUUCGCGAAGAAGACACCAUCAUCGAAUCAAAUUCAGAUCACACAAUUCGCCAUGGAUAACUCAACUACAUAUCUGUUAUCCAGAUCGGAAACCGCCGUAACCUACGAUUCACCUUAUCCACUCUACGCCAUGGCUUUCUCAUCUCUCAACAGUUCCACGGAAUCGCCGUGGGAAGCUUCCUCAAAAGAUUACAACAACUGAACAACCGAAUUGACAUCCUCUCUUUCGAUCUGAUUCCAUGACCGUGAAGCCUCUCCCGAAUCUCUCGUUCCAGCGUCCUUAUCCUCCUACAAAGCUAAUGUUCAGUCCUCUUCUCUCCGUCGUCCUUCAUCCGGAGAUCUACUUGCUUUUUCCGGCGAUUUCCUCUGUCUUUGGGAUAUUAACCAAGAUUCUUCCACAGUUGAGCCUAUCUCGGUUCUCAACAACAGGAAAACGAGUUUUUGCAUUGAGCGAUGGGCAAUAGUGAAGAGAUCAUUUUCAUGAUGUAAAGAGCAAAGAAGAGACAAAUAAACCCCUUUAUGAUUUACUCCUUUCGGUAUGUUGUAGAACCAGUGAUGUUAUCGAGCCUAUGAUAAAGCCCCGGUGGUAUGUUAAUCGCAACAUGAUUGGAAAGGAAGCUCUUGGUGUUGCCACCACUGAUGAAAAAAAGAAGCCCGAGUUUAUACCAAAGCAAUACACAGCAGAAUGGUGAAGGUUUCUUUCAUUUACCCCAUUUAUUAUCAUUCUUAUUGCACCAUUGUCCGGAUAAGUUGUGAUAGCUGUUUAAGAUGUCACUACACCAUCUAUUAACAAUUACUGCCUUACAGUUGGUUAGAGAACAUCAGUGACUCGUGUAUUUUGAGAUAGCUUUGGUGGGGAUACAUAAUACCAGCAUGGUAUACCACUCUAGAGGGAGAUUACAGGGAAUAUGGACGGUAAUGCUAACCGGAACAGUUCUUCAGACAUGUGUACUGCUUUUGAUGGGAAGGCGAAAAAGAUAGAGGAGAAGAGACUGAAGAUAUCGAAGUUUGUCUCAAUCCUUAUAAGUUUUAAUGUUAGCUUUUUUGGAUAAAACUUGACAGCAUAGUACAAGACUUGUAUGAUAUGUAAGACUUGUUUAAAUUAAUGUUAUGUAUGUUGAUGAUAUUUAUGAAAUAAUGUUUUUUUUUA